CCUACGCUCUCCCCAAGCUGGAGGGAACCGGGCUCCUGCCUGCGAAAUGGAAAUCGCUUUGCGUGUCUUCUGUGUUUCCCCAACAGAAAAGUGAAUGAAUGUGUAUCAGGAGUACUAGUGCUUCCCCAAGAAGUUCGUUGGACCAAGGGCUGCCCAAGCCAUGACCUGAGAAGGGAAGCAGCAAGGCUGGGAUUUUUCUACAAGUUUUCCUCUUCCUAUAUGCAAUGUGUUCAUCAGAACCUGCUGCUCACAGAUUCCCAGUGAGAUGCAAGAAGCUUGUAACAGAAACCUGUGUACCUGAAGACAGUGGAAAACAAACAGAUGAGGCAACUUCAUGUAUCAAAAAUGAAGGAAAAGCUGAAUAAAAACGGUAAUUCAUGCCAGCCAGCCCUAUUUUAUGAAGAAUUGACAGAAUAAUCAUCCACAAAUUGAACAUUUUCCAUGAUAAAGGUCAAAUUUCUUUUUGAGAACAUUAGCUUCUUCUUACUAGAAAACACCAACUGAGAUCAUCAAAUGCUUACCAACAUCUAAAGGUGCCAUGAGUCUUCAAAUGUUUUAUACUUAUGUUACAUUUGCAUGGCACUAAAUAGGUCACAGAGAAUUUUCCCCAUCUAAUCAACUCUUCUGCAUAAUCCUGUG